AUGGAAUCUUCCACAAUGGGCGCAAGCCUGAUGGAGCAACACCGCGUGAGUGAAGAAGGGUUUCGGCUCGUAAAGCUCUGUUGUAAUAAGAAGAACACGUAUAGUAUAUGGACUGUAUCAUACGUUGACGGUAUUCAACCAGAAAGUCACGGCUAACUACGUGCCAGCAGCCGCGGUAAUACG
rnacentral:rRNA from 1 species